rnacentral:rRNA from 1 species
GACGAACGCUAGCGGCGUGCCUUAGGCAUGCAAGUAGAGCGGGGUGUAGCAAUACACCGAGCUGCGAACGGCUGAGUAACACGUAAGAAUCUACCCUUUGGCGGAGAAUACCUUACCGAAAGGUAAGUUAAUACACCAUAAGACCGAGAGGUGAAAGGGCUUAACCGCCCACCGAAGGAGGAGCUUGCGACCUAUCAGUUAGUUGGUGGGGUAAUGGCCUACCAAGACAGCGACGGGUAGGGGGCGUGAGAGCGUGAUCCCCCAGAACGGGACUGAGACACGGCCCGUACACCUACGAGUGGCAGCAACUAGGAAUCGUGCGCAAUGGACGAAAGUCUGACGCCGCGACGCUGCGUGAAGGAUUAAGGCGUAUAUCGUUGUAAACUUCUUUUGACCUGCGGGACACCAAAGGUAGAAUAAGCACCGGCUAACUCUGUGCCAGCAGCAGCGGUGAUACAGAGGGUGCAAGCGUUGUCCGGAUUUAUUGGGCGUAAAGAGUUCGUAGGCUUUUUCUUAAGUCAUCUUUCAAAGACUUCGGCUCAACCGAGGAAAGGGGGGUGAUACUGGGAAAAUUGAAAAGUUUCGGGGCUACUGGAACUUACGGUGUAGGAGUGAAAUCCGUUGAUAUCGUAAGGAACACCGAGGGCGAAGGCGGGUAGCUAGGAACAUUUUGACGCUGAGGAACGACAGCUAGGGGAGCGAAAGGGAUUAGAGACCCCUGUAGUCCUAGCCGUAAACGAUGCUCGCUAGGGAUAGGUCUCGCAAAGAUCAUGAUUUUUGUUCGUGGUUUUUGUGAGAUCUGUUCCGUAAGCUAACGCGUGAAGCGAGCCGCCUGGGGAGUACGAGCGCAAGCUUAAAACUCAAAGGAAUUGACGGGGACCCGCACAACCAGUGGAGCAUGUGGUUUAAUUCGAGACGGACCGAAGAACCUUACCGGGGUUUGACGUGUUAGUUGCACGUCGCCAGAAACGGCGAUUUCUUCGAGAGUACUAACACAGGUGUUGCAUGGCUGUCGUCAGCUCGUGUCGUGGGAUGUUCCCUUCAGUGGGGUAACGAGCGCAACCCUUGUCCUAUGUUAAAUAUUCAUAGGAGACUACCCAAUUUAUUUGGGAGGAAGUGGGGACGAUGUCAAGUCAGCAUGGCCCUUAUGUCCCGGGCGACACGCAUGCUACAAUGGCGCAAACAAAGGGUUGCCAAGCGGUAACGCGGAGCUAAUCCCAAAAAUUGCGUCUCAGUGGGGAUUGGGGGCUGAAACUCGCCCUCAUGAACGCGGAAUUGGUAGUAAUCGCGAAUCAGCCAAGUCGCGGUGAAUACGUUCUCGGGUCU